GAUGAACGCUGGCGGCGUGCCUAAUACAUGCAAGUCGAGCGAACAGAUGAGUAGCUUGCUUCUCUGAUGUUAGCGGCGGACGGGUGAGUAACACGUGGGUAACCUACCUAUAAGACUGGGAUAACUCCGGGAAACCGGGGCUAAUACCGGAUAAUAUUUUGAACCGCAUGGUUCAAUAGUGAAAGACGGUUUCGGCUGUCACUUAUAGAUGGACCCGCGCCGUAUUAGCUAGUUGGUAAGGUAACGGCUUACCAAGGCGACGAUACGUAGCCGACCUGAGAGGGUGAUCGGCCACACUGGAACUGAGACACGGUCCAGACUCCUACGGGAGGCAGCAGUAGGGAAUCUUCCGCAAUGGGCGAAAGCUUGACGGAGCAACGCCGCGUGAGUGAUGAAGGUCUUCGGAUCGUAAAACUCUGUUGUUAGGGAGGAACAAAUUUGUUAGUAACUGAACAAGUCUUGACGGUACCUAACCAGAAAGCCACGGCUAACUACGUGCCAGCCGCCGCCGUAA
rnacentral:rRNA from 1 species